AACGAACGCUGGCGGCGUGCCUAACACAUGCAAGUCGUGCGAGAAAGUUCCUUCGGGAGCGAGUAAAGCGGCGCACGGGUGAGUAACACGUAGGUAACCUGCCCCCCAGUCUGGAACAACUAGAGGAAACUCUAGCUAAUGCCGGAUAAGACCACGGCCCCCUCGGGGGCUGCGGCCAAAGAUGGCCUCUACUUGUACGCUAUCGCUGAGGGAUGGGCCUGCGGGCCAUUAGCUUGUUGGUGAGGUAACGGCUCACCAAGGCUGUGAUGGCUAGCUGGUCUGAGAGGAUGACCAGCCACACUGGGACUGAGACACGGCCCAGACUCCUACGGAGGCAGCAGUGGGGAAUAUUGCGCAAUGGGCGAAAGCCUGACGCAGCGACGCCGCGU
rnacentral:rRNA from 1 species